UACGUAGGGUGCGAGCGUUAAUCGGAAUUACUGGGCGUAAAGCGUGCGCAGGCGGUUAUGUAAGACAGUUGUGAAAUCCCCGGGCUCAACCUGGGAAUUGCAUCUGUGACUGCAUAGCUAGAGUACGGUAGAGGGGGAUGGAAUUCCGCGUGUAGCAGUGAAAUGCGUAGAUAUGCGGAGGAACACCGAUGGCGAAGGCAAUCCCCUGGACCUGUACUGACGCUCAUGCACGAAAGCGUGGGGGAGCAAAC
rnacentral:rRNA from 1 species